AUCCUUAUUGGGACUUAGAGAAUAAAACAUUAAGAAGGAAAUUAGCAAUGGGAGUUAAGUGAGUCAUUUGACCUUUCAACUUUAUUUACUACUUGUCAUUAUCAUUAAAAACAACUCAAUAAAUAUCACAAAAUAAUAAAUAUCACCAAAAUAAUUGUAAAUAGUUAAAACAAUUGGUUACAAUUCACCUUUGCUUAUGCGAUUAUUUGUGUAUUGUAUCUUUAAAACGGUACGCGUGGGGCAGCCAAUCAGCGUGGCCUAACUUUAUUACCGGAAGUGAGCACGUGAAAUUGAAAUCAACGCUGUUUUGAAAGAUUUGUUUCUUAUCAAGUUUUGACAAAAGAUUCGUUUUUUGGGCAAUGACGCAUGCAAGACAAAUCCAAUGCAGGAGGGAUGAGGAUCAUCAUCUGGAGAGAAAUCACAUAUUCUUCACAGUGGAUUCCGUGUUUAUUGGGCAACGUUGAGACGACAAUGCGGACCGUCCGAGGGAGUUGUACGGGGAGCCACCACAGCUUGCGAGCUUCAUCGGCAUCGGACAGCUGCUCCAGGGCAUCCAGGAUGAUGACCAAGGGCCUGUGAAAGGACGAUUCUCCGAGCAGGUUGACGAGGAGCUCCCUCAUUUCCUGGAUUUUGUACCAUCGCUGAUGACAAACGAUUCAUGAUGAAGACCAAAGUUGUUUUGAUGGAGUCCAAGAAGAUGGUCCGGCUUCCUGGUGUGGGCUUUAACCACCGUGUCGGGUCCUCCCAAGCGUCGGCAGAAGCUGCAGGUGCCAGUUGUGGGAAGUCAAGGUCAGCAAAACUUUUCAGCAGAAGCACUGCACCACUGGGCCGAUCCUCCAGGAGCACGUCGCAUUUAAACAGACUGAAAGCGGCAGCUUCGAUUGGCCGUGAUUGAAGUUGGCGCCGACCACUCCCACAGCGGCGCAGCCCACCCUCUGGGGAAAUUACCAUCGGGUCUAACAUUGGGUUUGAUGAUUACACCUUGGGCCUGCUCCUGUGUGGACAAAACAAAUGUGUCUCCAAAAUGAGACCCCCAAAAAGGACUGACAGGAUGGCUUGGGCAUCUUCAUGAGCUCAGUAAAAUGGCCUCAAUGGUAGCUCACGAAAUGAACGAGGUGAGAUUGCUGCCGUUAGUUAUCAUUUCCGCCGUUCAAGUAUUGUGCACUUAUUGCCGUCGAGGAAGACUAGCAACUGCCACUGAAGAAGAUUUAUGAGCCUAUUGGAGACUAACCACUAAUGGAAGCCACGGAAGGAGAUUUGGGGCAGGAGAGAAAGAGAAUUUGAUGGGAAUUCCUGAUGGGGGAUUGGGCUCCUCUCUGCAACGUCUGUUUUUGAAAUGGAGGACAAAUAAAGACUUUAGCACGGAGCGGCGAGCUGUCCACCUGAGAGUUCUCUCACCAUCUGCUUCGGGAACUCAUCACCUCAUCCGUCCUCCGUUCCCGCCUUCUCCAACCCCCUGCCGGACUCGGCGCGCAGCUCCCACAGUGCCUUGCUGUGUGGCCUUUUCAAUAAUGUAGAGCGGGAGAUCGUCUGAGGGAGGAAACGCUUUCCUGGCGCUGUAGGAGCCCCCUCUGUGACAUUUACUGAGACUCUCGGUGUGUGCGUACGUGCAUGUGUGUGUCAGUGAUAGGCCACUAAUAAUGCCCAGCACACUCACAUGAGACCUUUAGCAUCCCACAAAAUGGGUUAAAAAAAAACAUGACAGUCCCACCACGAUUUUGCGGGGGGGGUUGCGCCGUCCGUUUAUCUGGGAUUUUGUUGUAUCUCAAAGUGCUGAAGCUAGCCGAGCGCUACCGAAUGUGAAGCCCAAUGGAGGACACAUCUCACCCCUCCCCUCAUCCACUCAUCAUUAGCGCCCCAUCAAUUAGUUGCAACAGAAAAUGGUGUGUGAAAUAUUUGGCUGUCGCCAAACAUCAGCGCUGGUGAGAACCAAUAUGACUCGGUGUCAUGGGACUGAACCAAGGUCACAUCUCAAGCCCAGGCGCGCUGACACGCCGGAAGGCCGCGUUGGUGAAUCAUCUACCGCUCUAUGUGGAGAGCUGUCACACUUUAACUAGUGGUGAUUUGUUUUGAGAUCAUGAAGCGAGGAAUUUGUAAGGUUCUUUUUGUCAAAUAUUCAUUUUUUAAAUUCAACAGUUUGGCUUAUACUUUUCUGUAUGUGCUAUGAAACAAUGUCCAUUAUCAAAAUAGUUAGAACCUAAAGUUUGAAAAAAGGCGCAGAAGGCUGGUGAAACACUGCCCCCUUGUGGUUACUGUAGCUUAUUGCAAGCCACUCAAGGUGAGUACAGAGCACAUGAAUACAGUCAUACAGAAUACAGUUCAUCACAUGGGAUCCAUUAACUGGAUCGCACCGUUCCCCAAAUAAGAGGCAAAGCGUGCUUGCUUCAAGUUAUUUAUUUAUCACUUCUAGUUGGAGUUGAGUGUAAAUCUGACACGUAAAACAAGAGUUAAACAUCUAUGUAGAGGCCAUACUGUUCUAGUCAAAUCCAUUAGUUUAAUGCUAGCAUAUAAUCUGAGGCGCCGUCUUUAUGUCAACAGCUAGGGUUCUUCUGUCUGUCGUAGCAGCAGUUCUCUGGCCAGAUCCGGUCGGCCGAUCUUAGCCAAGCAUUGUGCUAACUGGGGGACUUUGGACUGAAGCUGGGAAGCGGGCAGCUCCCUCCUCCACAUGGUCAAGAUGCCCAAGGCCCGCGCAGGCAGACUGUCCCCGGCUCGAAGCUUCACCAACUGGCCGGCGCUGCGGCGAAGACGUAGCGAAAUCGCCAAGGGGGAGACAUUUCCACAAAGAUGGAGGAGAAGCUGGUCCCCCUCCUCCAUGGAGAUCUCCGGCGAAGUCUCCAUGGGACCACCGUUGGUCUUCGCCUGCAGUCGAGACAGUUCCCAACCGAGCUCCCGACUGGGCAGAGCGGCCACCAGGACGCUGCGGGGAUCGUCCCGAUGCCGCCAGAGGACAACAGUGACCUGGUGGCGGCGGGCUGACUCCACCAGAUCUUCUGCCAGGGAGAUGAGAUGGCAAGGUUGCAGUGGAGAGAGAAGCCGAACAACGAGAAGUCUGAAGGAGGAGGGACAAAAAAAAAUCGAACGACUAUUUCACUUUCAGGUACGAGGUAGCUGACCCGGCCCUCGCCAUCCACCACUUUAACAUUGAUGGUUCUGUAGCUGCCACGGUAACGUGCACGGAAAGACAACGCCAAAGUCAGAGGGAAGUGGAGGUCGCUUUCGGCUCGGAGUCUGAUGACCCGGCUCACCAGCUCCUCGGCACCGGUCACCAUCGUGCAACUCAAGGCGUCGGCCACCUCGCAGCGCACGACUUUGGCCCCGCCCAAAGGUGCUCUGACGAAGCAGGCGCCUGGUAUGUCCGAUUGGCUGAUCCAUUCUUCGUUCGUCUUCUCCGAGACGGUGUCCAAGAGGUCUUCAUCGUCCCUCUCUUGACCUUUGACCUUCAGUUCUGCUUCAUCGUGACAAGUAAUGUUAGCAGAAGCUAAUGUUUGGUCACCGUUUGACAGCUGCUCUCGAUCAUCUCCGUCCUCAGGCUCAUCUUCGUGCUCUGACCGAGCCUCGGUGGCCAUCGGUUCAUCGGCGGUUUUGAGGUGUUGAGUUGUGAGGUCCACAGAUGUUUCUGCGUUCGGGUGGAUUAUUUCAGCCUCCAUUUUGUUGCAUAUUGUGCUCAGUUGAUCCUGAAUUUGCUCUAAGUCUUCCAGAAGACUUAGUAAAACACCACCUAAGUCUGGAAAAGGAGACAUUUGGUCAUUUUAGAUAGGUAGUAGAAGUUAAGGCCACAUCUGAGGAGCUCAUUUAUGAACGUAAGGUUGAUUUCAUACGUGGUGUACAAACCGCCUCUCAAGAAGCAUACCUGGCGGGUUCCUGUUGAGAAUGCAGACACACUGCCGAAGAGCAUCCCUCCAUGCAGUCAUUCUGUUUGCAUGGAAAAGAUUGAACCGCCUGAGCACUCCCAAAGCGGUUUGUCUCCUCUCGUUCUCCUCGUUGUCCUCUCGACUCUUUUUGUCGUCCAUGAAGAUCUGAAAGAUGCAAGAAGAAAUGGGUCCGAAACUUCCAGGAGCCGUUUUGAAGUCCAACCUGCAAGCAGCAAAAAUGUUUUUUUUUUACAAACUUGUUGCAUUCCCUUUCUUUGGGGAAUGUGGCUCUUUAGGUUCUUGUGUACAGCCAUAGUAGAUAUUUGAAAGGCUGCCAGUUGUAAAACAUGUUGUCAAGGCGACCCCUGGAGGCGUGACGAGGACGCACAAAAGACAUGCCACGGCCAGAUUCACAAGCAGACUUCGCCGGCCAGUCUCUUUUCUUCUGCUCUUCUGUCACUUGUUUUACGUGCCUUCGUGCUAUCAAUGGUCUCAACACUCAUUAUUUUAUUUAGAUAGUCGGCUGGGAAAGGCUCCAGCGAGCCCGCGACGCGAGGAUGGCGGCUUCAGAUCAUUUCUGGAUGGAUCGAUUCCCAAUUUGUGGGGGGGAACAGAUAUUUGUCGUAUCAAAAACAUAGGAUGACUUUAGAAUUUAAUGCCGUUUAUUAAAAAUCAAUGAAGCAAGUUUAAUUAUUUCUAAAACCACCAGGGGGAGCAAGGUUCCUCCGCUGCCGGUCAAGUAGGAGCCGCUCCCCCUCAUUAUCAAACUCAUCCCCCCCUUCUCCCUCGCCACCAUCAUCGCUUUUCGAGGCAAUUUCUCGCGAGCUCAAAAAGCCAUCUUUUUUUUUGUUUGUUUAGGUGUCACCCCCCACCUCCUUCCAGCUGGCUGAAACGAUGAAGUCCCUGAAAUCUCCCUACUGACGUGCCACACAAAUGGAGCUAAAAUCAUGGCCAGGCUGUAGUGCUUUUUAAUUAGUUUUAUUUGUACCUCAUUUUUAUUUGAAUGAUAACCACCUUGCAUCCAAGACGACGGACACUGGCAAAGGAGGAUCCGAUAUCCAAUCAUCAGCUCUUGUUCUGGACACCGCUCCUCCUUUUUUAGAGGCCACCAUGAGGAGGGAUGCUGUGAUUGGGAUCGUCUUCAGCCUGCUGUUGAUUCUUCACUCCAGCAAAGCGCACAAAGCAGUUGAUGACUCCCUCCAGUCUUCCCUGGUCAUGUUCUUGGGGGCCGGCCAGCACUCCGUCCUCAGCCUGUUGCUGCUAUCCAUGACCGUGGUCCUGUCGGUCAUCAUCUACCUGUGGGUCCUCAGGUACAUUUGCGUCGGCUGCUGCCAGCCCAUCGCCGUCGGGAUCGACCCGGAAACUCUGGCCGAGAUGUCGUCGGCCCUGGUUUGAGGGACUUUUUUAGUAUAUGCGUCUCAAAAGGUUUUUCUUCAGCCGUGAAUUGAAAAGCCGAUAAAUUAAGGUCUCGCAUGCGUAUAAAGUGACUGAUUGCAGUCUGGCGAACUUUCUUUUCACUUUGAGUAAAUUAAUUAUGAAACGUGCUGCUGCUGGCAUAAAUCAAUGUUUGUGCCCGACAGAAGCGCACAAGGCUGCUGUGGGAUGUAAGUAGCACUUAGAAAAUGUGCUUAUUGUUUGGCCAUGAGUAGUAACGCUUUGACCCUGACAUUGCCUCGCUCGUUAUUUGUCACUUUGUUGUCUGUAAAUUCACCAAUACAUAACUUUACAUAAUAAAAGGCCAAACUACAA